UACAAAAAAGUUGCAUAUUGUACUCAUUGGCAAAACAAAAUAAAUUAGAUUUUAAAAAUUCAUAUUUUCGUGUUUUCCUAUGACAGCCGCGGCGUGCCAUAGUCAGUACUCUUCAGAGCUGGAGGUUAAAUGACGUCAUAAAGUUAAUGGCGGCGUCUAUUUGAAAUGAAAAAAAAAGUUCAUAAAAUAUUUUAUCGAUACGAUUUACCGCUAAUUCAUGUAGGGUAAGUCAAAUUUAUGUUUAUUUUUCGUAAAAUUAGAAGUUAAUUUUGUAAAUAGCGAUCUUUUUGGAUGCACAUCUUUUGUAAAUGCUAUUCUCAAGACCAAACUUCUGAUAAAAGAAAUAUGCAUAUUUCAGUAUACAAAAUGUAUUUAGCUGUUUGCAAUUACUAUGCAUUGAAGUUAGCAAGCAUAAUGUUUGAUAAAUAAACGACAUUGCAUUAUAUAUUUGAGAAAAAAAGUUUCUUUGGGGGACACUCUCGUUCAUUUAUUUUUUAAGUAUGGAACGCCGUUCCCGUCAUAAUAUAUGAAAAUGUCAUCAUAAACAAAACAUGUGCGUAUGUGCAUGUUUUGACUUCAGAUUUUUUGUUCAUGAGCAAUGUUUAUACUCGUAUGCGUGUAGAAUGUUAAAAUUAAAUGAUUUACUUAAACAUUGCUGUUGUUUCGUUGUAGCUGAAGAAUUUAUAUAGCGCCAACACAGCAUAUCUUCAACAGAAAAAAAAAAACAUUUAUAUAGCGUCAACACAGCAUAUCUACAUCAGAAGAAACAAUGGUUUAAUAUCAUAUUCAAUAGUCGUGUUCUGGAUAGAAGUAGACAAGCAACUUAACAGUUCAGACUCCACCAGCAAUAGUGAAUAUAAAGCUGACGAACUGAGUAAAUGAAUAGUCAACAUUGACCCAUGACCAUCGCAACUUAGUAUAGUGUGCAAGGUAUGUAUCCUUGAGCCCUGGCAUAUUCUAACACUUAUUACACACUAUUUAGAAAAUGUAAUAUGAAGAAUGAAUGUAGCAUUGUUAUAUUUUGGCAUAUUUGUAAAUGUUGUUCACUGGUCUUUUUCUUAAAGCUGAAUGCUUCCAACAAAAAAUAUUUUCGAAAGUCAAACUUGAGGAAAAUAUACUAAAAUUCUAAGAGGCAUGCUGUUUAAAGUGUACAUUUUUACGAAGUAAUUAAAUUAAUCUUUCAGUUACAUGUAUGAAUGAACAUUGAACCUCAAGUUAUGAUGAGAAAUUUCCACAACAAUAUUCAUAUUUGUUUGCAUUUUUCACGUGAAUAAAUCUUCUUACUUUUACCAUUCAAUUUAUUGUCUAUAAAACAUACCAUAUAAAAUGAAAUAGUGCAUGAACAUAUUGUUCUUUCAGAUGGAGACGGAUAAUUGUGUGUUUUGCAACAGGUCACUU